CUUUCCCCAUCAUGACUUUUCUUUUCGAAAAAUGGAGAAUCUCAUUAAUGAAUCAAAGUACAGAUUGAUGUUACAAAAUCAAGAAAACUAAUUCAAAAUAAUUAAACAGAUUGAAAGUGCUACUUAAGAAAUACGAACGCUGAUUCAUGGAUUUGGGACCAACUCGUCGACUCGACGAUAUUUCUUCUUCUUACAGUCUAUACCUCGCAGCAACAGAAGCCGGAUAACGAAUCAAUGGGGUGAGGCUCCUUCUUCUUCAAUUUAGUUUCAUGAGUCGGCUGUUUAGGAUUGGUAGUUUUGACCGUUUCUUAUGUUUCUUCUUUGGAGCUGGGGAGAACGGAAACCAUGAGGCAGAGCAGAAUUGAAGCUUGAUGGGAUCCAGAAGUAGAGGGACCUUGGAUCCAUGGAUUCAAGCGAGGGACUGACGGGUAAGGACACAGGAGCAAUUACAGUGUCUCUGCAUCCAUGUUUAUUUUUAUGGAAUGAAUAUACUAUUCUAUCUCUGAAAGAAUAUAUGAUUACCAUGAUGCAUGUAUGCAGUCUAGGACUCGUAAAACCAAUUUGAUCCAAAUGGACAUUUAUAUAUUAGCAUUAACCCAUCAUAUGUAUUUACCAAACAGUCUGAAUUACAUGUUUUGAUACGACUGUCAGGACAUUCAUUUGUAUAAGCAUGCAGUGAGCCUAAUCCACCAAUCAUCUAAUCAAAGCUAGAGUUUAUUUCAGCUAGAUUCAAACGCUGCCUACUAUUAACUGAAGAUGAUUUCACCAUGUAUAUUAGCUGUUGAGGUGUGCAUAUUAGACCAGUAUAAUCAUUCAGAUUUAGCAAGGCACAAACUCGAGUAGCAAUCUUAAACUGUUCUCAUGCCAUAUUCAUGUUUGUCCUUUCGAAAUUCAGUAUCUCUUGAGCAAACAGAAAUCCUAGGACCGAAAGUAUCAAGGUAAAUAUGUCUUGUUUCAAUCUUUGAUUUAGUAUCUAGGAUUGAAAGCAUGCUACAGUCUAAUUAAGGACAUUUCUUAUAACUCGUUCUCUUGGCAUAGUUGAUCUAAAGUACUUAACCAUCCUUAAAAUCAUACCUAACAAUCCAUUAGAUUAGUUUCUGCUUAGCUCAACUAACAAUCUAUAAAAAUUAGACACAAGAGCAGUAUGUAGAUAACGCAUGAUUGUCAAAUUAAACUAUAGUCCUUCACCUUUGAAUGGCAAUUGUCUACAAACAAAUUGCUAAUUUUAGUAAAACCGCCUCUAUAAAGUACAAACAGAAGGUGCACUGAAAACUCUCCUAGCUCAGGAAUAAGGAUUACCAUCUGUGGUGAGUACUAGCCUUACAAAUUGCAUUCAUCUCAAAGGCUAUCCUUGCUCUAGUUAAACAAGAUAUAGAUCACAGAGCAAGCAACAAAGCACAUCCAUCCAAAAAUAACUUGAAAUCUAACAAUGUAGCAGCUCUAGUCCUCCACCAUGCCCUGAAAUGCAAUCAAUUAGGGACGAAUGGGUCAAGAGGUCGUUGUGUAGUGGGUAGUACCUGGGUCGUCGUCGUCGUAGCUAGGUUGUUGUCGUAGAUGGGUCGUCGUCGUCGUAGAGAACAGAGGCUAGGGAGCUUACUAUUGGAGCUCGUCAGUCGUUAGAUCGAAGAAGCCGCCGUCAGCAGUCGGAGAUGAGCUACAGAUCAGAGAAUGGAUCGUCGACGGAUCAGAGAAUGGACCGUCGACAGAUCGGAGAUGAGCUACGGAUCAGCAGAUCGAAGUCACCAGUCGCCAGCCUUUAGAUCGGAGUCGCCAGUCGCCAGUCGCCUCGUCAAGAGGUCAUUUGGGUGUCUAGGUCAGACUUCAGAUUCAGAGGCAGACUCAAAAUUGGGCUCAAAAUUAAAGAUUGGGUUGAGUUGGGUUGUUUCAGGAUUAAAAUUGAAUUAGCUCAAUUUUGAUUGGGUUGAAGAAAAUCCAGCUCAUAUUAAUUUAUCUUAUUGUGAACCCAACCCGAUAUGAAUGAAUUUGACUAAAUUGGGUUGGGUUGAUGAGUUGGUAGGUUAAAUUUUCAGCCAUAGCUAGCGAAAUAUGGUCUCUGGACUUAAGAAUCAGUCAACAAAUCACAUUCGGCC
rnacentral:lncRNA from 1 species